rnacentral:pre_miRNA from 7 species
GGCCGCCAGUGAAAAUUGAUUUUCACUGGCGGUUUUAUUACGCCGACCGCCAGUGAAAAUCGAUUUUCACUGGCGGUC